CAGGGUGCAGCUCAGUGGUAUAGCAUGUGCUUAACAUGCAUGAGUCCUGGAUUCAAUUCCCAGCACCAGGG
rnacentral:tRNA from 1 species